AAAUAAGACCUAAAUCCAUAUAAUAGUAAAAGAUGUCCUAGACUUCUUUGAGAACCCUCCAAGAGCACAAAACUGAUUAGCAUGUGAAAAUAUAUUGCCAUGAAACACCGUAACAAUACCAAACCAAUUCGAUAUCAAGAGCCAUAAUCGACCAUAAUGAUCACAUUGAAAAAACAAAUGGUCCCUUUCCUCCUCCUUACCACACAAGGCCGCGCAAGACACAUUGGAAACCUGAAGGACGUUCCUCUUGCGCAGGUUGUCCUUUGUUGCAAGUCUA
rnacentral:lncRNA from 1 species